CCUACGGGGGGCAGCAGUGAGGAAUAUUGGUCAAUGGCCGUAAGGCUGAACCAGCCAAGUCGCGUGAAGGAAGAAGGAUCUAUGGUUUGUAAACUUCUUUUAUAGGGGAAUAAAGGUAUCCACGUGUGGAUAUUUGCAUGUACUCUAUGAAUAAGCAUCGGCUAACUCCGUGCCAGCAGCCGCGGUAAUACGGAGGAUGCGAGCGUUAUCCGGAUUUAUUGGGUUUAAAGGGUGCGUAGGUUGUUUUUUAAGUCAGCGGUGGAAGUUUGUGGCUCAACCAUAAAAUUGCCGUUGAAACUGGGAGACGUGAGGGUGUGUGAGGUAGGCGGAAAGCGUGGUGGAACGGGGAAAUGCAUAGAAAUCACGCAGAACUCCGAUUGCGAAGGCAGCUUACUAAGCCAUAACUUACACUGAAGCACGAAAGCGGGGGGAUCAAACAAGAUUAGAUACCCCUUGUAGUC
rnacentral:rRNA from 1 species